GAUGAAGAACGUAGCGAAAUGCGAUAAGUAAUGUGAAUUGCAGAAUUCAGUGAAUCAUCGAAUCUUUGAACGCACAUUGCGCCCGCCAGUAUUCUGGCGGGCAUGCCUGUUCGAGCGUCAUUUCAACCAUCAAGCCCUGCUUGCGUUGGGGUCCUGCGGCUGCCCGCAGGCCCUGAAAACCAGUGGCGGGCUCGCUAGUCACACCGAGCGCAGUAAUACAUCUCGCUUUGGGCGUGCGGCGGGUUCUUGCCGUUAAACACCCCCUUUUUACCAAGGUUGACCUCGGAUCAGGUAGGAAUACCCGCUGAACUUAAGCAUAUCAAUAACGGAGGA
rnacentral:misc_RNA from 1 species